GACGAACGCUGGCGGCGUGCUUAACACAUGCAAGUCGAACGGAAAGGCCCCUUUGGGGGUACUCGAGUGGCGAACGGGUGAGUAACACGUGAGUAACCUGCCCUUGACUUCGGGAUAACUUCAGGAAACUGGGGCUAAUACCGGAUAGGAAUCCUUGCUGCAUGGUGGGGGUUGGAAAGCUUCGGCGGUUUUGGAUGGACUCGCGGCUUAUCAGCUUGUUGGUGGGGUAGUGGCUUACCAAGGCUUUGACGGGUAGCCGGCCUGAGAGGGCGACCGGCCACAUUGGGACUGGGAUACGGCCCAGACUCCUACGGGAGGCAGCAGUGGGGAAUAUUGCACAAUGGGCGGAAGCCUGAUGCAGCAACGCCGCGUGCGGGAGGACGGCCUUCGGGUUGUAAACCGCUUUCAGCAGGGGCGAAGCUUGUGGUGACGGUACCUGCAGAAGAAGCACCGGCUAACUACGUG
rnacentral:rRNA from 1 species